AAGCUUUCCAAAAUUUUACACAAAAAUCAAUAGAAGAAGUUAUAUCUUCAUCAUUGUUGAUGUCUAUUUAUUCUGGUCAACUCUAUAGUUACAGACACAAUAUAUAUAAAGCUAGUGGAAAAGAAAAAAGAAACCUUAAAGACGAAGACCUAAUGUAUCUUUUACAGGAAGAAAAAAAAAAUUAUUUUUUUUUGUGCUCUUUCAAAAUCAUUUAAUAAUCAUACGUCUAAUGAUUAUACUUUUAAAGUAUUGCUUCCUGAAGCAAUACUGUAUCUUUUUGCAAAGGUGCAAAGAAUUUCAAGAAUCAAAGCUGAAGUAUUGUUAAGUUCAUAUUCUUUGCAAAGGAAUAAUGAACUGUUAAAUAAAAUCUCAGAUGAAGAUAAUGAUUUUAUUUUGG